AAAGAUACAGAGGUAGUAAGUUUUAGUGCAGGGACAAAUUAAGUAACAAUCCACAUAAACAAUGGCACCUUUCAUGGUCUACCACAAGAAUAUUGUUUCUAAAACAUUUGUUGGAAGGAGCAUCAUAUAUCAUAGAAGAUGUAAAGAGGUAUUACAACGACAAAACGGUUUAUCAGGAGAAUCUAUCGUUGUUCCCUUGUUUAGGGACUAGAGCAUGUCAUCCUUUCAUGCGUGUAGUUCUAUCGAAGAUUCAGGCGGCGGGCACUUGGGAUUGCACUUAAGGCAUUUAGACUUGAACUCAUCCAAAGUCUUGAAACAUGGGGUCUCCCGGAUGUCACAGCAGUAGCAGUCACCGAAGUCGCAACUCCAUUUGCCGCACAAUAUGACGGUAAACUUGGCAUCAUCUAACGAUGAUAUCGCGUUGGCCACGGUAGCAUUGUUAUCGCCACCGUCUAGAUAGCUUCGUUUUCCAGCCUCCAUACGACCUAAAAUUAUGCAUGUAAUGUUUUUAAUUGUUAGUCCUAUAAGAGAGAGAGAGAGAGAGAGAGAGAGAGAGAGAGAGAGAGAUUGAGAGAGAGUCCAUGCGUGUAAAAACUGAAGAAAAUAAAACAAGGGAAGAACCAGAACUAACACUGUGCAGUGACCGUGAGCCAUCCCACGAACAAGAUGGCCAUGGCAUGAACCCCUCUCAUUCUGGUUUAAUCUUUACUGAUUGCUUAGUCGAUUGAGUCAACUCUCCGCAAUGGGGUGGGUUACGUGAGACGAACAAGGGAUGACCAUGGCUGCGAUGACCCGAUCAUUAUAUAGAGGGUCAAAAUCUUAAUUAAGUAGGAGAUAAUAUUCCAAUUAAUUCUAAAGAUUAUUUGGUGCCAUAUAUACGUCGAUAUUAAUUAAUGUCGGAUAAUUUACAUCCACCCAUAUAUGUCGCCCUUUGGGUAAUUUGGUUCCAAAAAGUUGGUUGUGUCAGUCAAUCAAUUAUCUCCCCAAAAUAACACCCCAAAAAUUCACGCAUUGAUUGUUUCGAAGAAGAAGAAGAAGAAGAAGAAGAAGAAGAAUGCUAACCGAAACUACUAACUGGAGGGAAGGCAUCAUGAUUCCCCUCCCAAACACCGGCUACCGGAGCGGCAGGCAAUUGGAUCCAUUGACUCGUCGGUGAAGUGUGGAGGUGAGAGUUUACCCUAGCCGUCUAGGAUUAAGGGAGGUAAAUAACAUGUGGUCUCUUCUAGGGACAUAAUCUCAUUCAUCUUUUUAUGGAAACAACUCUAACAUUUGCAAAAACUAUGUGAAAAAACUCCCUCACUUUUUUUGCUUGUACUUCUAGUAGAAAAUGCUUUCAAAAAACACUGUCACUAGAAGGAUUACAUAUAGAAGCAUUGUUUGUUUUGUAUUAAAUAUUGGUUAACUGUCAUAUAUGUUGUGACACGUCUUAUGUCUCAUAUGCACACAACAUAUAAAAUAAAGAGUAAAUUCAAUUUUUCGCGCGGCAGGCGUGAUGAGCAAUCUCAAAUCAUUGAAAAAACGAGUAAAUUCCCUUUUUACCCCCAUCGAUCAUUUACGCUUGUGACAGAAUUAGUCCCAGUUUAGGAAAACUCUCAAUUUAUACCCUCAUUUAUCACCUUUGUGCCACAUUUUACCUCUUUGCAAUUUUUUCCAAUUUUGUGCUAAGUUGGCAUGGCACGUCAAUGUUUUUUUAUUAUAUAUUUUGCCUAUAGUUCAUUUCUUUUAUUUGACCUUGAGGUGGGUCACCUGUCAUUAUAGAAAAAAAAUGGUUGGGUACGCCCCGAACACAUGACCUCCCUUGGGGAAGACUUGUACAGGAUCUGUUCUUAGGUGAGAUCAAUGAAAUCAAUCUUUUUGAAGAUACAAAACAUGUUCAAAAAUUCUGAAAAAAAAGUGGAGACCUACAUCAAGCUCAAAAAGUUUCAGCUCCUAAUUCGAACUGCACUUAGAGGACCAAAAAAGACAAAAUCAGAUGUGAAUAGUGUCAAAUACUACUCAUCCCAAAGCGGACACUAUUCAUAAUCGAAUUUAUCUUUUUCGAAUUUCUAACUAUAGAUUGAGUUUUGAGCUGAUUUUUUUUGGAGUUGUAGACAUACCCCGCAGGUAUGUUGUACAUUCUUUUCAGAUUUUUUUUGGAUUGUCUAAUUAUGAAAUGUUUGAGUUGAUCAUAUGAUCUCACCUCAAGGGUUGAUCCUAUACAAGUUCUCUCUGACCUCCCCUCCUCUUCUCUUCGGGAGGGACCACAAUAAAAUUUGUCCCUUAGAAGCAAAAUAGAAAGAUUGAAGUUGGUCCGUUGGAUUGAGGGUUGAUGGCAUAGACUCCAUUGGAGGGAUCUAAGCCCACUUAAAUGUACAUUUCACAAACCCCCCCUUUGUGAAGUUAGAUAUGUCAAACGCCUUUUGCAGUUAUGUCCUUCAGCAUUUCAAUUUUGCACAGCGGUAAUGCCUAUUCUCAUAGAAUCCACGCAUAUUUAGAUACAUUAUUAUGCAAGAAAAUUGGGCAUGUUGGUCACUACAAAGUAUAACGGUAUUUAUCACAAAAUUUGAGUACACAACAUCAACGACAACAGAGCUUUAUCACAAAUAUUUUAGUACAUGACAAAACUGAGCCACCCCCUUCAAUCAGAACUAAACGUACAUGUCAAUCUAGAGCAUCCCUACCAGAGCACAACACAAGAGACAUACAUAAAUAUCAACAUGGGAGGAUCUUUGGUACAAGAACGGGUCAUGUUGGUGGUCGUGUCGAAGGAGUAUAGCUCGUAGAGCUCCUUAUGGUCUUUGACACAGCCGCCGAACAUAAAUGUCGUGCCGCUGACGGGAGGUAGGGGCACCUAGCCGGCCGAGUCGAGGGCAGACCAGGACUGCGCCUUGAGGUCGAAGGCAUACAUGGUGUUGGCCACUUGCAGGUGUGGGGUUAACUCGCAGCCGAAGGAGUAGGCCGUGUCACCGACAAGGGUGAUCAGUGGCGGAGGUAGAGGGUGGCCGGGGUGGGCCAUGGCCCACCCUGAGAUUUGAAAACAACAUUUGUAUCGUAGGAGAAAAGCUAAAAAGUAAAAGGAAAAAAAUAAGUGUAUAUGUACAGUACACUGCUGGCCCACUCUGGCCCAGUGGGCUAGGUCCGCCACUGAGGGUGAUGGUACGGGAGCAUCUUGUUCCCGGCCCAGCUCCCUAUGUUCCAUCCAUGUGAUCAAGUAACUCAAUGGUUAACCGAAGCAAAACUACAUUCUGCAAAAGAGAUUCAUUUUUAAGAAUAUCUUGAAUAAUCUUCCCUGUCAACAGACGAGAUUCAUUUUUAGGAAUAUCUUGAAUAAUCUUCCCUGUCAACAGAUGUAAUUCAAAUAAUUGGUACCACAAACUAGUAAGAACUCAUAAUAUUGUGAAAUCAAUCUGUAAAUGACCUUGCAGUAAGCAUAAAUGAAAGGAAAAAAAUCCAAUACUAAAACCAACCUUAGGAAGCCAUACUACAGAGAUCAUACCGUGCCUAAUUUUUGCCCAUCACACCUGAGAUUUUCUAAAAUCUCCUGGUCUCUAAAAUCUCCUGGUAAUAUGUGUGCUAAUCUAAUUCUAUACAGCUGAGAGCUGAUACCUAUCAAAAUUUUCUUCCUCACAUGGCCCUCAAAUCGUUCAAAGACAGUCUUCCUUUCCCCCCUUGUGUACAUGUAAUCAAGAAAAUCUAUGGGUCUGCUCGGUUGCAGGGCCCUGCAGGGUUUGGGUGAUCAGCCAAAACCUGCAGGGGUUAGUUCCUCUAUGGGAGCAAAUCCUUGUCAGGUUUGAGCCAUUUGGUUGAUCCUUGCUAAAGAGGGAUUUUAUCUCCACGUAUAUAAUCUCACAUAUGGUAUAUAUACUCCAUCUAUGUGCUGAAGCACAAUCAACUAGAAAAUUCCAAAUUCAGAACUAUCAAAUACAGUUGUUCGCCACGGCAUAACAUUUUGAUUAGCCAAAUUUCAGAAAAAAAGACUAGCAGCCAUAAUCAUUGUACAACUUUUAUUAUUCACCUCGGUUGAGCUCCUGCCGUGCCGAACAAACGGCGCUCAUCUUGCCAAUAUCGCAUACAUCAUGGAUGGAUGAGUUAUCUGAAUCCCUCUGGCAAGGAAAUAGGAGAAUUAGGAAACAUGGCAAUGUACAUGCAAGAGGCAACAAUGCCAAAGCACAUUGUUAAUUAUAGGUUUCAGAAAUGAACAGAAAGACCUAAAGUUUAGGCUUACAAAAUGUACAACUUAUACAACUUGACAUUUCUCCCAAACACUUAGUUCUGACUAUAGUACAGCCAGUAUACUUGAUCCCUAUAGGGCAGCUUGUAUAGAUAAACCACAUAAUGCAUAAGAAACAACAGAAGAACACCUGUUGGCAAGUAAUUUUUACUGUUCUUUUAAGAAACAAUUAAAGAACUCAGGAUUGACUUCUUGCUAGAUUGUAUUUCUUCUUAAUGUACACUAUGCAGACUCACAUUUUGGCACGACCAAAAGAGAACUGAAAAUAGACUUCGGAUAUUCCCGUCUAAGAACGAGAUUUGUUAACAAAAUGGAGUGACUAAUAACUGAUUAACUAGUGCACCUGAAGCAUUACUUAUCUUUUUUUUUGCGGAUGCAACAUUACUUAUCUAGAAACCCAUAACCCCAAGCUCUAGAUAUCCUAUCUCAGAACAACAAUACAAUCAUGGUAUACAUUCAGCUUAAUUUUGUUCUGUCUAGAACAAAAAUGGAGUGACCAAAUAAGAAAGGAGUUCAACACACAAUAUUUCUGUCCAAUAUAGAUCUUGAGACUAGGUUUACAUAUUUCUGUUCAGAACAUCGAUGAUGUAUGAAUAAUUGUUUCUAGGCCUAUAAGUUUGAUCUCUUCUAUCACUAAUUUGCGCACAAAUCCUUCGGGUCAUUAUCAUUUCGUCAUUAGUCAGCCAAAUGUAAGUUGUGGUCACUCCAUAAUAUCAAACUCAACCAUUUUCCCUACUUCUAUCACCCUUCCACAAACCUAACUAAUUUACAUUAAUCUGGCAUGUAUGUGAAGUUUAUCUCAGACCAUCGCAGCAUAUAUGCUUAACUUGAUGCUAUUCGCAUACUAAUAUCUUUAGAAGUGUUGAUGCAAAAACCUUGCAACCCUGUAGUUCACGCUCAUAGUCAAAUUAUUUGAUAAAUUAACCCACAGAAUUGUAUAGAACUACUAAGACAAGGAUCCGGCAAAAACUCCGAUAAAGGGUGUUUCUAUUAACUCAAAACAUACCAUCAACUGGAUACAAAGCAUGAUGAACAACACCCGACCUGUGCAUAAUUAAGAGGCACACAACCAAAAACCAAAGUCUCGCAAAAGAAAAUCAAAAAUGGACAUAUCCGCAACAGUAGAGUCAUAUGAGACCGACACUAUGCCUAUGUCGAAGGAGGUGGUGGGCCGAUCCAAAGAUUAUGGUGCAACCCAUGUUGGGUGAAAACUUCCUUGGCCACCCACUCCAACCACAUACACACCAUCUUGAACAGCAGUUGUUGUUCGGUGUAACAUAGACCACAUAAAAAAGCAAGCUCGUAUAGUGGAAAAUAAACUAGAAAAAGAAGAUCAGAUUUUGCCAUGUUAAAAUAUUUUAUUCCGAUUGGAUUCGGUUAACCUGACACAAGGACGAAUGUGUUUCGCUGGAAUCUCACUCUAUCUGGGUCUUUAACAGUCGACUCUAUGUAUUGCUCACGCAUUCAGAGAUCCCAGUGGAUAAUAGUAAAAAAAAUUGAAAACCAAAGGUUCUACAAAAAGUUCGCGUGACUCUGGUUCAUUUUCAUGCUAAGCUCGCGUGACAAAGAGUGAUCCUGAGACGUCUUUUAAUGCAUGGGUGCUUAGAUGAGGUGCUAAGUGCAUUAAAAGAAUUAGCAACUAAACUACUAAUGCAUAGGUGCUUAGUUUUUAGUUGCUAAGCUUCCUUCAUUUAAUUAGGUAUAGACUUAGAUUUGUGUUUUCACCUAGGUACACACGCUUAGCAUGCAUCAUCUCCUCCUCAGAUCACCAUACUACUCUCUCUUCCUUCUUAAUUAAUAUGCCACAUCAGAUUUUUUGCUUAGCCGGCAAUUUUUAGCAUUUGAAGAGGCCUGAUCCACACCACUUUUGUCACAUGUCGACCUAGUACGAAAUUUUGAAACAAGAUGGCAAAACAAAAUGAUUAACCCUUCAACUUGAGCCGCAACAACACGUACAUACAUUUGUGUGGGCGAACAAACAAACACAGCAGCCACCUGAUCCAACAAGCCAGUAUGCCACAUACGUAGGAAAGCCUGUGAGCCAAAGAUCCUUUGCUCGUUGACAAGGAGAAGAUUUAUAAAAGAACAUAAUGGGAUGUUGUGGUGAGCGACUUUGGGGCAGGCAAAGCGAAAAAAAGUCGAUUUGUUACUAGAAGUAAACCUGGCUACACAUAACAAUUUUGGAAGUACCACAACAAACCAGCAACGAUGGAUACCACAUGGAAGUGUAAAGCAACAAUAUAACUAUUUUUGCCGAAAAAACUUUCGAUCUAUUCAUCAACUAUCAAAGUAAUAAAAAAAUAUCAAAAAUAAAAUUCACAUCCAGAUCCGUAGAACACCUAGCGACAACUACAAGCACUGGAGCGAGCCGAAGGUGCGCCGUUGUAAGGGCAUUCUUGUCCCUUUGUAGCUUUGGUGAUUAAUGACAAUGUUUUUGCGGACUAAUCAUGUGUAUUGAGUUUUUCAGAUAUAUCAUGACUAAACAAAAAAUGAUUUGAUGCCCCUCGAAGAUUAUUGAAGACGGCGUUUCUCUAUGGUUCUUUUCGGUGGAGUUGAGUCGUAGAAAAGUCGUACUAUUAAGAGGGGGUCCGCUUUGAAAAGGUUUGGGUGGAAUCUCACGUACACGUCCCUUUUGCACUGCCUUUCCUUUGGCUCUUUGGAGUUUCCUCCGUCUCACCUUGUCUCUACAAAAUGAAGUACUCCGAGUUGCUCUUCUUAGGCUAGCGGUAGUACUGCUCCUCUGAGCGGUACUACCGCAGGAGCCAGCGGUAGUACCGGGCUCCGGCACGGUAGUACCGUGGGCCUCUACGGUAGUACCGCUUCUCCUGAGCGGUAGUACCGUGAGUUCUGGCUUGGCGCUGCUGCACAAGCGGUAGUAGGGACGGAUGUAAUUUUUUACAUCCGCGCCCUACGCGGUAGUACCGUGCUGCGGCGCGGUAGUACCGUGUCGCCUGGCCUUCACGGCAGCAGGAGCGGAGGUAGGGGCGGAUGUAAUCUUUUACAUCCGCAGCCUUCACGGUAGUACCGCACCCCUGGUUCGCGUUAGUAUCGUGUCGGAUUUUCGCAUCGAUAAAAUCUCAGCGGAGGUAGUCACGGAUGUAAUUUUUUACAUCUGUGCCUACCGUGCCUGGCCUGUGGCUGCCCUGCGGUAGUACCACAUAGGGCCGCGGUAGUACCGCGCCUGCGGUUCUACCGCGCCCUGUCUGCACUCUUUUGUUCAGGUCCAGGCUCUGCCACGCCCACGGUAGUACCGCGGUCCGCCGCGGUAGUACCGCAGGCCCGUGCGGUAGUACCACUCCUGUGGUGCGGUAGUACCGCUCCUGUGGUGCGGUAGUACCGCGGGUCGCGGGCUGAGUGGUGGGUAGCGGUUGGAUUUAUCCUGAUUUCAUUUCAGAAUUUCCGGCGAUACGUGUUCAGUGAGAGGAGACGUUCCCGUCAACUAUGAGGCGCCUAUGGCAACUUUGUAAAAUCUGAAGAUGCUGUGCCGGCUCGGUCUCUCGGAGGUGCUCAUAGGGGUAAGAUGUGUGUGUGCAUUCAUAGGGGUGAGCGUAUGCGCGUAUAUAUGAGCGCUUGUGACUGGACCGAUGUUCACAGAAAAAAAACAACGUGUCAGCCAGUCUGUCCACUUUUGAUUUUCUUUUUCGCAUUUUAUCCAACGCUUUUAAUAGUUAUUAUUUUGGUUUCCUAUUUUUCUUCUUUCUUUUCAUGUAUGUUUUUUUGUUUUUCUCCCUUUUUCCUUUUAUUUUUUAAAUUUUAAUUCACAAUAACUUUAAUAAUUGUGAACAACCAAAAAAAUCAUGAUUUUUAAAAAUCCUUGCUGUUUUUUUGCAAAUUUAUGAACAUUUUUAAAGUAUAUGAACCUUUUCUUAAAAUUCGUCAACACUACUGAAAUCAGCGAAAAAAUUUAACCUUCACAAACGUUUUUUGAUUUUUUUUUCAUUCUGAACAUUUUAAAAAAUCAUGAACAUCUUAUGAUUUAUUGAAGUUUUUCAAAUGAAAGAAAGAUAGUUGAAUUUUUUUCGAGGUAGCAGUGGAGCAAGCGUGAAAAAAGGUAAGUGGGUGAGAGGAGCAGGGAGCCGAGUUGGGCGAGCGAGAGCUUCAUGAACCAGCCCAUGUGAGUGUUAUAACAAAAAUUCCAUGUUUUCAACAUGGAAUAUGAUCUACCAAGGGGCAUCACGCACGCACUGCACAAGGCUCCUGCACACACUACAACAGCCUGGAAGGUGCUCACCUAGCUAGGUAGAACGAGUCGCCAUCAGAGGAGGACAAGGACCGGACCUCGACUGGGGUUCGAUCACCACGGCGACACACUUCACAAGGCCCGAUGUUCCGAUCCCUUUCCUGUUGGUAGCAUCCCAGUAUAGACAUAACACAAUCUUGUAAUUACACUCUCACUUGCAUGGCAACUAAAAAGCAUAUGUUUCCAUGGCAACUAAAAAGCAUAUGUUGCCAUAUGGCAGCCAAAAUCAUGUGAACUUCCUGUUAAGUUUUAUAAAUUCUAUGUCAACUAAAAAGGAUAUGUUGACAUGGCAACUAAAAAGCAUAUGUUGUCAUGACAAAUAGGUUGCCAUGCCGACUCAACUUAUGUUGCCAUGACAAAUUAAAUCACAUAUUAUUUUCCAUGGUAAUAAAGCAGUAUAUAUUACCACGGGUAGCUCCAUGGCAUAUUGGAGUUGGGAAUUUUCAUAUGUAUUUUUCCAUGGCAAAGUUUAAUAUGUAUCAGCCAUGGCAAUUUUUGUUUAUAACUCUGUGUUUACAUUGUUCAUUAUUCUAUUUUCAAUGGCAAUUUCCAUAUAAAGCAUGGGCCAUAUUAAGUAAAAUACCACAACAUAUUCUAAUACGUAUCUGCCAUGGCAUUUUUGUUCAUUUUCCUGUUUUUUUUGCCAAGGCAAAUUCUAAUAUGCAUCUACAUUUUUCCCAGGGGAACAAAAGCAUUUAUAGUUGUCAUCUAUUAAAAGAAAAAAUUUCCUCUUUUUUUCUUUUCCAUCCUUCCGCAAAAGAAAAUGUUGGCAAAUUCAUGUGGGCCCAUAAAAGCAUUUUUUGCCAAGCAAAAAAUGUUCAUGGAAUUCUUAUAGUUUUUUUACCAUGGAAAAUUUUUGUAAUUGACGCUGGAAAUUUAGUUUAUUGACCAUGGCAAAUUGUAAGUACUUUAUCGACCAUUGCAUAUUCAGUAGUUGACCCUGGCAAAAUGAGUUUAUUGACCAUAGAAAAAUUUAUUUAUUGACCGUGGCUAGUUUCUUAAUUGAUCAUGGACAAAUUUAAGUCUUUUUUCAAUGGUAGCAAAUUUGACUAAUUGACCAUGGCAAAUUUUAAGUCCUUCCUCGGUAUGGUAAAUUUCGUAAUUGACCAUGGCAGAUUUAAUUUGUUGACUAUGGCAAAAUUUAAGUCCUUUUUUGGUAUGGUAAAUUUAGAAAUUGACCAUGGCCAAUUUAGUUUAUUGACCAUGGCAAUUUUAAUUACUUCUUCGACCAUGGAUAAAAUUAGUAAUUCACCAUGGCAGUUUUUUUGAUAGAUCAUGGCAAAUCGUUAAUUGAGCAUGGCAAAUUUUAGUAGUUGACCAUGGUAAAAUUUUAGUAAUUAAGCAUGGCAAAUUUAGUAGAGCAUGGCAAUUUUGUAUUAAUUGACCAUGGGAAAUUUUACGUACUUUUUUGACCAUGACAAAUUUUGUAAUUAACCAUGGCAAAUUAUUUGGUUGAUCAUGGCAAUUUUUAGUAAUUGACCAUAGAAAUUUUAGUAAUUGAGCAUGGCAAAUUUGUAGUAAUUGACCAUGGCAAAUUUUAAGUACUUUUUCGACCAUGGCAAAUUUGUAGUAAUUGACCAUGGCAAAUUUUAAAUACUUUUUCGACUAUUGCAAUUUUUCGUAAUUGACCAUGGAAAAUUAUUUAGUGGAUCAUGGAAAAUAUAGUAAUUUAGUAAUUGAGCAUGGAAAGUUUGUAGUAAUUGACCAUGACAAAUUUUAAGUGCUUUUUCGACCAUGGCAAAUCUAUAAUACCUAAAUUGUUCAUCCCCUCUAAACUAAUUCUCUUGACAUGCACCCUAUGCACAUCAAUAGCCCCACUACCUCAUCACCCUUGCUAAGUCAUUUCUUUUUACAAAAGGAUUCCUCCGCAGCACAACAUAAAGGUUCAAACCUGUGUGUCCAACUAACUUUAUUACUUUCCAUUGACGAGGAUUAACACUCCACUUCCUUCCUAUGCAUCAACUUCCACUCCCAUUUCUCCUUUGGCUCAGCCACGAACCUUCCUGUUAACACCCUCACAAAGUCAUACCAAUUGAUGGCAUGCAGCCCCCCAUCUCAGCAACCUGCUACCUCACCAAAAACUGCAAUUUGGUGAAGCCAAAUCAUCCUAUGGCUCACUUAUCUACCCCUCCAUAUCUGAAAUAGUUGUUGGCCUCUUGCGUCCCCCUUCCUCAUUACUCCUUCAUCAUGUUCGACUACACAUCCACCUUCUUGCAUUCCUUUUGGUAAUGAACACUUCCAAUCAAUGCAAGAAAAUGAAAAGUAUUUUCUGGCAGCCUAUUUAUUCUGGUAUCUCCAUCUUCCUCUCCUGCCGCCAUCGCACGGAUGCGAGCUCCUCCGCUCUCGCCCACGGCCAGAUCCGCCAGUGCCCCGCUGCCGGCGACCAGAACCAGUAGGACUGUCGCGUCCCUCCUCCUCUGUUUCCUUCCCGUCCUUCUCCUUUCUCCUCUGUCUCUCUCUCCCUCCCUCACGCAUCAUCUUCUCUUUUCAGGUACUUCUACAGCAGCCCCGCCAUGGACCUCAAGCCACCGGCCGUUCAACCAAGGCCUUCCUAGGAUCCGCGACCCUGCCUCCUCAUCGCACAUGCCCGGCCGCGCCACCGGAGCUCCCCUGCAGGUCGCGUGCCCGUCGCCAUCACCCUCUCUUCUUCCCCUAUCCAUUCUACUCUAUCCUCUCUGAAUACCUCUCUCUCUAUUCAAGUGCAGAUGCAGUGCUCCCUGCCACCCGCUGCUGUUCUUCGCGUCGCCCCGCGCUCCGCCUCGCCUGGUCGCCUGCCUACGGGGCCGUGGUGGGUUUUUCUGUUAGAUCAGAUCUGAUGGCCAUUUUUUGUUCCCUCUUUGUAGAUAUCAGCUCUCUCCUUCAAAUCGGCUCAAAUGGCCACCUUUCUUCAUUUCUCUGUCUAUGUCUAGACAUGAACCAUAUCUCAUCCUCUUCUUGUUGGCUUGUUGGUUUUGUAACUCAUGAACGAAUAUAAGUUGGUAGGCUUUGAUGUGAACAAGCAGGGUGGGACUAUUAAUUGAAACAUGCGAUGAGAUAGCAAGCGAACGGACGAACGAACACGAGCGCAUAGUGCUUGCGAAGGCCCAUCGGUGAAAAACGAUCGAAUCAUUUUUCUCAAGUGGCUCACGGCCCACAAAAGGCCUAGCAGUCCAGCCAGUAGGCCCAGUCAAUGGACGAAAAUUAUGGGAGCAAGGUGGACGGACCCCAAAUUAAUACCACCUCGUUUAUAUUACGAUUUUGUCUAUACAAACCAUAAAAACAUAUUAUGACAUGAAAAUAAAGCAUAUUGUGAUGGUGAACCCAAGGACUCAAUCCGUGCUUUAUUAUUAGGGAAAGAUAUGAUCAAUGCAAAAUGCAACUUUAUAACACAGGAGCAUAUGCAUGAGGAGAGUUAAUAAGAUGGCAUGUUGGAGGUACGAAACAAAGAUGCUACAGCAAUUAUACAUAGCAACCAAGGGCAUGGCAUCAUAGUACACAUAACAAAUAGCAAAUAAUAUCAUGGCAUCAUAUACAUAUGGCUCAUGGAUUAGUGGGAACCAACAUGACAAGAUGGAAUGUUGAAACAGCUUCAGCAAGUGUAAAAAUAGCAACAUUAUGAUAGCAUGUUUGCAAGCAUGGAACAGAGGCAUAUGUCAUCCACAAUUUAAAACAUUGGCAUGUGAACAAAUUACUCAUAGCAUACUUCAAAACAUGUAAUUGGAGAAAAUCCAGAAGAGGGGUGAAUCAAUCAAUAACAAGCUCACAACAAGGCAUCAUGAAGUUAACAGAAUACUGGAACAACAUAUAGGCAUGUUCAUGGCAAUGAAAACAUAUGCUACAGGACAUAUAUACGGCAUCCAAAGGCAUGUCAUGAUAGAGCAUAACAUGGACAUCAAAACAUGUCAACAAAGUAUCUCCAGAUUGUGCAUGGUUUAAUUGGUCGCAUCAAGCCAACAUGGCAUCAUGAUAUGACAGAUUCAACAUUGACGGAACAUUAACAGCGAGUAGCCCACUUCACAAGCUUGAUGCACUCACUAAAAGGCAUAUAAAAAUACAUGGAUUGCAUUCCUGUAAAGAUGGCGUAUAUAUGCUUCUAAACCAUGUAGACAUGAUGCUCAAAAGAAAACCACACAAAAAGAUAUAAAAAUGACAAAUAGGCAAGUUAUAACAAUUUUCAGCAGUUAACAGCAACAUGCUUUUUUUGCAACAGAGAUUAAGAUAUCAAGAUGCACCCUAACAUGGAUGCAGAGCACACCAACAUGUAGAGCAUGAAGAGCAGAACAUUAACAUAUCAAGAUCAUCAUUAUAGGAUCAACAGAGACAAAGUUACACCACUCAUAGGAUGCAUACAUGAUGUUAACAAUCAGUAGAUUACAUCAGUUUAUAUCACUUAGAAGUUUUAUAACGAUGAUUAAGGCAUCAAUAUGAACAGCAACAUGAAUGAAAAAUGCAACCAUCAUGUAGAGCAUGAAGAGGCGAACAGUUUGACAUAUCAUGCACGCAAAAUGGGGCAAUAUGCAUCAAGUUAUGGACAUGGCAAGAUGCACACAUGAAAUGAUUUUAGGAAAAGACGAUGAAAAAAACAACCUCGUGGAAAAGGCUAGACAGGGACGUGCGGGGACGGAGCGGUUCGGGACGGCACAGGCGCCGUUUGGGUCGAUGGUUGCUGGCNNNNNNNNNNNNNNNNNNNNNNNNNNNNNNNNNNNNNNNNNNNNNNNNNNNNNNNNNNNNNNNNNNNNNNNNNNNNNNNNNNNNNNNNNNNNNNNNNNNNNNNNNNNNNNNNNNNNNNNNNNNNNNNNNNNNNNNNNNNNNNNNNNNNNNNNNNNNNNNNNNNNNNNNNNNNNNNNNNNNNNNNNNNNNNNNNNNNNNNNNNNNNNNNNNNNNNNNNNNNNNNNNNNNNNNNNNNNNNNNNNNNNNNNNNNNNNNNNNNNNNNNNNNNNNNNNNNNNNNNNNNNNNNNNNNNNNNNNNNNNNNNNNNNNNNNNNNNNNNNNNNNNNNNNNNNNNNNNNNNNNNNNNNNNNNNNNNNNNNNNNNNNNNNNNNNNNNNNNNNNNNNNNNNNNNNNNNNNNNNNNNNNAAGGCGGCGGCGCGGCGUCCGGCGCGGGCGGCAAGGGACGACCGAGGCGGCGGGGACGGAUGGGCCGUGCGGCGGCGAGAUCCGGGCCCACGCGGGUCCGGGAUGGACUCCACGGGCCGUCGGCGCGGGGAGAGAGAGGAGGAACACGUGGCGGCGUGUGGUUGGAGGAGAGCGGCGGUGGGGUGAUGUGGCGGCUUGUGGUUGGCCUGGGCGACGUGGCCGGCGGACAUGUCCAGCGUGCGAGGAUUUGUCCGGCGGCGCGAGGAGGAAGAUUCCUAGGGUUUGUACCGCGAAUUUCGGGGGAGGGGACUUAUUUAUAGGUAGAGGGAGCUAGGAGAGUCCAAAUGAGGUGCACUUUUCGCCAACACGAUCGUGAUCCAACGACGGAGAGCAUGGAGGGGGCUUAGAUGAGUUAGUGGGCUGUUGUGAAGAGGUGCUGGGCUGCAAAGAGAAGGGGUCUGACGGUUAACGCGGUUAACCGUAGGGGCAUCAAAUGACCUCCAAAUGGAACACAAUUUGUUAGGCGGUCUACAAGUGAUGUACCAAGACCACUCGUCAACUCUCGGCCCAUUCCGAGAACGUUUUUCUGCGGCUUACAAAAUGAGAACUGGGAGGUGCGACAGGUGCACGUGAGAGUGUUUGAAUUCGAAACGGACAAUGGAGAUGCAAGUUUUGAAAAACAUGCAGAUGAAAUGCAGAUGAUGACAUGACAAAAUGCAACACGCAAGCAAAAGACAUUGCUACAACGGUGAAUAACUGGAAGACAACUGGCGCAUCGGACUCGGGGCGUUACAAUCUGGCACUCUUUCUUUGGCAUGGCCGGAUCACACAAUGAUAUCAACGUGCUUCAGCGCUCGCCGGUGUUUGCUAGGCUUGCCGAAGGAUACUACUUGGGUGACAGUAUCUAUCCUCAGUGGACCAUUAUUGUCAAGACAAUACCCAACCCUGUGGGGGAGAAGAGAAAAAGAUUUGUCCAAGAGCAAGAGAGUGCUCGGAAGGAUGUCGAACGUGCCUUUGGUGUUUUGCAAUCUCGAUGGGGUAUCGUUCGGUAUCCUGCUAAUACUUGGAGCACGCAGAAACUUUGGGAGGUGAUGACUGCUUGUGUGAUCAUGCACAAUAUGAUCGUAGAAGACGAGCGCCCGGAACGUCUAUACGAUCAAGGGUUUCAGUUUCAGGAGAAUGUUGUGCCUGAGCAUGAAGGAGCGGCAAUGUUUGAACAAUUCACCCAAUUUCAUCAUGGCAUGCGUGAUUGGAAAACUCACGUGCAACUGCAAAAUGAUUUGGUUGAGCGUAUGUGGGCUCAUGUUGGCAACCAAUAGAUAUAUCUUCUUUUAUUCGUUUGCAAAACUAUGUGAGAACUAUGUGAGACAUUUUUAUUUUUAUUCGGCUUGUAAAACUAUGCUAUUUUAUUCGGUUCAAACUAUGUUAUUUGACUAUAUAUAAAAAUGCAAAUUCAUCAAUGCAAAAUAGGGCGGCCAGCCGGCCAGGCCGGCACAUAUGAGUCGGCGUGUUGGGCGCAUUGCCGACCCAUAUCUAAAAUAGGGCGGACGGCCGGCCCAAACGGACAAAAAGCGAACGAAAUCGCCGUCCGUUUGGGUCGCCCCAUUGGAGCUGCUCUGACCAUCUACCGACGUUGGAUAAUGUGGCCAAAAGAAACGGGCCCGUGGAUGGAACUUGUGCUAUUUGUGGUUUAGGGUAAAACGCAAAUCACGUGUUUUUCGGCUGUGCUCUCGCUAGAUUUGUGUGGAGCGCUGUUAGGGAUACAUUCAAGCAAAGCUGGAACCCACUCUCUAGCGAUGACCUGCUUACCUUGCUAACGGCUCAAAGGGGCGCUAACGUUAGGAUUGUUUGAAGAUGCGUAGGGGUGCCGCUUUGGUCGUUUUGGUAGGUUCGGAACAAAAUUACGAUUGAACAAAAGUUUUCUGCUCACCCAGUUGAUAUUAUAUUCAAAUGUCACAUUUUUCUAUAGACUUGGGCGUCAUUGGAAAAGACGCGUGAUGCGGACCGCAUGGACCGGAUCACGGAGCAGAUCAAGAUGACUAUGGAAGGCACGGCAAACUAAUACGCCAGUUUGAGACUUUUGCGAUGAGCCUGUUUGAUGUUUAGUUGGCCUUUUGGGCUUUUGGCUCAUGUUAUGUUGGCUUGAAACUGCUCUUAUUUAGCCUAGACUAUGCCGGGUUGUGAGGCCCGAUGUUUUACCUCUGUUUGGUUUGUAUGUUUGAAACUAUGUGUGGAUGCUGCCUAGUGGCUUUAUUAAUUUAAAGCCGGACGCCUCUAGCGCCUCCGUUAAAAAAUAUAAAAAACAUCAUAUAUGACUGUGAGGAAUAGACAUAUCACAAAAAUAGACUGCCAGAAACACUUAGUGCGUGAGAUGGUUGGGAUUAGGCUCAAUUUUACUUGUCCUAAAAUGUGUAAUCAAGGAACUCAAAUAAAGAUUCAGGUGAUCUGAUUGAGCAAUUGUGGGCAUUUCAUAUGGCAAUUAGAACAUGUGUGCCGAUAAAUUCAAUUCAAUUAUGAACUAGUUUAGUUCAAAACAUUAUGUUUGGAUUGUAAUAUUUAUAUUUUAACGACUAGUAAAAGCACCAGAUGUUCAACAAGUUUUUUCAUAUAUCGAUCUCAAAAGCAAAAGAACCCGAUGUAUGUGCCAAAGACCUCAAUUUUUGGCCUCCUUUUGACCCACCAUUUGCGAAAAGCAUUUCAACAUGCUAGCCUGGUAGUGUUGAACAUACUUGGCGCAUCGGGAUCCGAGUCAGACGCCUUCACGUACAACAUCUUGAACUCCUUGGAAGCGGCCUUCAUCGCAAGCUUACUCUAGAGGUUCAUCAUCUUAUUUGCAUGCCCAUGAGACAUGCCAAACCUCUCUGACUUAUUUUCCACCCUCACCCCAUAGCGCUUGGAAUAUGCCCCAUCCUUAUUCGCCAUGAUGUCCUCGUACUUCUCGGUCAUCGUGGUCGCCACCCCUUAUUACUCUUUUUCCUGUUCUCCCAACCCCCCCCCCUUUCUAGCAACAUGUGUUGCCAAUACAAUCCCUCCUUUUUGUUGCACCCGUUGGAUCACCAUCUUCAUCGUUUUAUUUGCCCAUGGCAGUCUUGAUGGAAUGGGCAAUAUAAUGUUGCUACUCUUGCUUUGCCCAUUCAACUUCAUCCAACAAUGCAUCAAUGUAAAGGUCUUCUUCUCCGUCUUUUCGUUCAAUGUGCGUGCACGUGUGGGCUAGCAAACUAAUACAAUGACGUGAUCACCAUGUUAUUAAAGGAAGACAAUGGGAUUGAGCAAAUCAAUCAAAUGACCAACACAACAUGAAGCAAAACAUGCGAGCUUGAGGAGUGACCCACCAAUUGGCCACCGCGUUUGGACUUGUGGAUACACACCNNNNNNNNNNACAUGUGUUGCCAAUACAAUCCCUCCUUUUUGUUGCACCCGUUGGAUCACCAUCUUCAUCGUUUUAUUUGCCCAUGGCAGUCUUGAUGGAAUGGGCAAUAUAAUGUUGCUACUCUUGCUUUGCCCAUUCAACUUCAUCCAACAAUGCAUCAAUGUAAAGGUCUUCUUCUCCGUCUUUUCGUUCAAUGUGCGCGCACGUGUGGGCUAGCAAACUAAUACAAUGACGUGAUCACCAUGUUAUUAAAGGAAGACAAUGGGAUUGAGCAAAUCAAUCAAAUGACCAACACAACAUGAAGCAAAACAUGCGAGCUUGAGGAGUGACCCACCAAUUGGCCACCGCGUUUGGACUUGUGGAUACACACCGUAAAACAUGUUGAUGGCCUCUUGAAUAGUGUAGCAUAAAUGUCUUACCAACUUAUGUCGCGAUCAUUGACCACUUUCGUGUGGUAGGGGUCGUGGAAAUUUUUCUCAUGAAACCUAUCAUGUGCACUUUGCCCAAAUGUCGAGCCUUGUUGCUCUGUGCCUUGAAACGGACACACUAGUGACCAAAGAUGCCUCUAAUGAGUGUAGUUUUACACUCAUUUCCAUCAUUAUUUAAAGAGGGUAUCCCAUAUAUUAUGAAAGAAUCACUCCGAUACUAUUGCUAAUGACUAAUAAAAAGCAACAAAAUUUGCAAGUACCUUCAUUUAUUUUGUUUCCGUGGAAAUGGGCCAUUUGAAGGAAGGUAGAGCAUAUAUAGGAAAUAUGAGGUACGGUGAUUAACCCCAAGAUAUCAGAGCCACAGAGACGCAACUAGGAGAGAAGACAGCGCCUGGUACUAGUGCACUUUCUCAUACCAGCGCUCGUACCCACUAACGUCGCUCUGAGGCAUCAACGAAACCAACUUUAGAAAAGGGUCAAGGCCCAUUCGUAAUAGAGCGUCUUGCAAAUCAUCCAUGAGAUGAGAGGAGUCAGAAACUCUAAGCCAUGACACCACCAUCCAUAUCCAUAGCCGCCGCCAUUCGCAUCUCAAUUCCCAUCUAUGUAGCAAUCAUCCCGAGCAGUUUUUCGUAGUUUGUAACUAGUGUAUGAAUCAUUCAUCUUCAAAUUUGAUCUACAAUGUCUUUCUUGUUUGAUUCGUAUGCGAUGUGUGAGUAGUCCACUUGAGCUAUUGGUUGAGGCAUAGCCUUGCAACCCCAUGUACUUUUGCACAUGAUUGUUGGUACUGAUUUUAAGAUCAAACGUAUUUAUGUGUAUCACAUCACAUUUGCCGCUUGUCUCUUUCUCGUUCUAAGACCCGGGAGUACUUGGGAUCCCAAGGAACGGUCAAGGAGGAGGUGAAGUGCAGGAAUGAGUGGAAGGCUAUGCAAAAAUCCGGUGAGAGUAAGGACAAGUACGGCAGCUGAAAGCAACUCCCUGGGGAAACGUGAGGUGCGGUCACCAAAUGCCCAAUGUGUUGGUCUGGGAAAAUCAUUCAUAAUUGAGGUAACCGGGCGAGAUGGCAAGGGCCUUGGUUGGACAAUUUAAUAACGAUGCAGUUGUUGGCCAGUCAUGGAAUCAUUAGGAUGCAUCCCCCACAUAUACACAUUGACAAAACAUGGCGGUGAUGUCUACCAGGACCAUGUUGAAUAUUUAGAUGAAAUCCCAAGGGCAAGUUUACGAAUGCAAGCUAAUACCUUACACCCUUUCCUAUUUUCCUAAUAUUGUUGUCUCUCUACACCUAUGCAAUUUUGGUCUGGUAAACUGAAACUCUUAGUGAUGACAAAAACUUGCAAGAAUCACCUCUUAGUUAGCAAUUCUUCAUGUGUGUUCGAUACCCAAGGUCAUCAUCUUUGCGUAAAAGGCAGGUACUAUCUCCAUCCGAAAGCAAAUCAAAGGUAAUCAACUCUUUUUCUGGCACCAUUACUAAGGAAGCAUCUCUGCAACCCCAGUUAGGUGACUAGAGUUUUUGUUUUAGAUUUUUUUNNNNNNNNNNNNNNNNNNNNNNNNNNNNNNNNNNNNNNNNNNNNNNNNNNNNNNNNNNNNNNNNNNNNNNNNNNNNNNNNNNNNNNNNNNNNNNNNNNNNNNNNNNNNNNNNNNNNNNNNNNNNNNNNNNNNNNNNNNNNNNNNNNNNNNNNNNNNNNNNNNNNNNNNNNNNNNNNNNNNNNNNNNNNNNNNNNNNNNNNNNNNNNNNNNNNNNNNNNNNNNNNNNNNNNNNNNNNNNNNNNNNNNNNNNNNNNNNNNNNNNNNNNNNNNNNNUUUUUUUAAUUUCUUUUUCUUUUGUAGGUUUAUAAUAACACAAAAAAAUAUCAUGGCUAAAAAGAUUUGGGAGUUUGCAAAUCCCAGUGAAACUUUAUGAGUGCAUGUAUUGCAUUUCCUAAUGUUGCAAACGAGUAAUUUGAAAUUAAACCUCAUCUUGUUACAGUGGUUCAACACAACCAAUUUGGAGGACACAGCCUCGCAAGGCCCCCACUUUCAACCCUUUCUCUCCCUCUCUCACGACCUGAGAAACAAGAGCUGAGUCGGCGCCUAGAGCACACAGAGUGGCCACCAUUCUCCGCCCUCAUGCUAGGAGCCUCCCCUUGCCAAGAGACCUUUCAUCCUGGAAUUGUCUCGUCACAUGCUUCACUCUCACAAGAAGAAUUGAGGAGAGAGACCCUAAAUAGAGCACAUAGACAAUGACAUAUCUGCAUCUGGUGACCGCCACAUAAUUCUUCUUCUCCCACAAGCCCAUCUCUCCUUAUUUGCUUCCUGAGAGAGGCACAAACUCCCGAAAGCUAAUGGUGGCCCUGCACAAUGGCCCACAACAAGAGGAUGCACACACAGAUAUGGCCAGAGAGGGUUGCAAGGUUGCCAUGCCAACAACAAAGGUGGCACACGGGCUUGGGAGGUGGGGAACUGUGACCUGGAUGAAGGUUGCAUGGACACAAGAUUGGGCAUGGACUUAGUGGACAUCCCGUGGAUAUGGAGAGGUUGGGAGGAGGGAGGAGUAGGAGACAUACGGACGGUGGAGGCUCUCAUGGAGGAUCCACCUGACAGGGAGGAGAGAGAGGGGGGAAACUGGCACUACAUGCCACGACCAACACACCCUUAAAAAUUUGGACAUUUCCACGCAUGGGGCCCAGUGGUGCCUCUGUUGCCGCCGAGCAUGCGCUCUUGGCACGGUCUUGUCGGGCAGAGAAACUAGCUAGAGCUAGAGGACGACCUGGCACAUGGGUCCUAAGGGAAGGGUAAGUGGGAUAUUUUUUUAUUUGUUUGUUCAACAUGGGUCCCACUUGUAAGGGAGAGGAAAGGUAGUUUUUCCCCUUGUUUCCUUUUUUACCCAGAUGGAAACUACCACUAUCAGGAGCAUUUUGGAAAAACUUCACGGUCAAAGGCAUUUAACAUGAUACUUACGCGCAUGUUCCAAGGGUUAUACCCAAAAAGAAGGUGAAUAUUUAUUUGAUACUUAUGCGCCUGUGGCCAGAUUGACCACCAUUGGAGUAAUACUCUCAUUGGUUGCCUCACACAAUCUUCUCCUUCAUCAAAUGUACACUAAGACAAUUGUCCUAAAUAGAGAGUUGGAGGAGGAAAUUUACAUCGAACAACCUGAUGGUUCUGUAGUGGAUAGUCAUAAAGGAAAAGUGUGUAAGUUGUUGAAUCUUUGUAUAGCUUAAAACAAGCACGUAAGAGAUGGUACGAGAAGUUCAAAACAACUUUUUCAUCUACUAGCUUUGUUGCCAACAAAGCCAACAAGUGUGUGUUCUACCGCCAGGGUGGGGGCGAGGGAGUUAUAUUGUGUUUAUAUGUUGACGAUACUUAUAUUUGGAACAAACCUCAUGGUCAUUGAGGAAGUGAACGAUUUUCUAAAUCAAAGCAUUGAGAUGAAAGAUCUUGAAGUAAUUGAUUUUGAACAUCAAGCUUUUGAGAGGUGGUGAUGGUGGGAUCACUUUUUUACAGUCUCACUAUGUGGAGAAGGUUCUGGAUCGCUUUUGAGAGGUGUUGAUUCGAAAUAACAAAUGGGAAGAACAAAUAAGAAACAAAGGAUCAAUUGAGAUAUUCUCAAAUCAUUGGGUCGCUUCUAUAUGUAGCUAGUACUACAAACCCAUGAGAUGUUCAUUAGCAUGCUCUUGAGAGGAUAAUGCGUCAUGUGAAAAGUACUAUGAAUUAUGGACUUCACUCUACCGAGUAUCCAAGAGUACUUGAGGGUUAUAGUGAUUGAAAUUGCAUAUCUUGUGCUGAUGAGCUUAAAGCCACGAAUGGUUAUGUGUUUACACUUGAUGGUGUUGUUGUUUCCUAGAAGUCUUGCAAGCAGACCAUCUUAAUAACGUCUACAGUGGAAGCAGAACUCACAACAUUAGACACAACAACUGUUGAAGCAGAGUGGCAUCAAGAACUUUUGAUGGACUUGCGGAUGGUUGAUAAACAAAUACCAGCUAUCGUCAUGGUGGUUGAAGCAGAGUAGAUCUUUAUAAAAACAAAUAAACUCUGGUAAUAAAAUAGUAAUCGUCAAGGUAAACAGUUCUAAGGAUAAUAAGAAGUCAUCCAGACAUGUGAGAAGGAGACUGAAAUAUGUCAGAUUUAUGAGAAACUCCGAAGGUAUGAAUUGGAAAUAUAAACACAUCAAAGAAUCUGGCAGAUCCCUUCACAAAGGGUUUAUCACAAAAUGUUAUAGACACCACAUUUAAGGGGAUGGGUUUGAGACCCACUACAUAAGUUGUUCAUGGUGAUAACUCAUUCUAUGUGAUCGGAGAUCUUGUGAAAUAGAAUUGGAAAUACAAGCUAUUUGAUAAAUGAGAGGAGAAUAUUUAUUUUAUAAAGAUCCACUCCGCAUGACACAAUUCUCUAUGACCAGCUGAUAUUUAUCUUCAUGUGUUCUAAAUGGCUUGGGUAGGCAAAGAUGUUGUCCUACAAAACAUCUAGAAAAAACACACCUAUAUGAGUUAGACUGUUAAAUUUUGCAGUCUGUGAGAGUUGGGCACUCUCUAAUAAACUUGUGAAGAUCCCCAGGAGUAUGACAUAUAUGCUCCUACUCAGAGGAAAGUUUUCAGCACUCUAAUAUCAGUCAAGACUUUUACGUAAAAGUCAUUUGCACAAAACUUGCAGUUCAAGGAGUAGUCCAUUGUUCAAGUUGUGACCAAGUAUAACGUGGAGUUUUAAGUGUAAGUUCAACUUACCAGUCUCCACCAAAACACUAGUAUAUAAACAAUGUUUUGGAACUAUUGGAAAGUUUUAUGUGGCUCGAAUCUGGUGGGAGAUUGUUGGAAUUAUUGGGCCUAGGCCACUUAAUAUUUCAAAAUAUUGUCAAUCAUUCAUUGUUAAUCCUAGAGGCCUGGCCCAUUCAUGCAUGACAAGGUGGUGUGAAAAGUUUAGUCUCGCCUCACUAGUGAAGAAUGUAUGAGACAAACUUAUAAUUGCAGCAAGGUAUUAUAGUGCGCCAUGUUUCGUAAUCGAGCCGGGCCGCGCUUAGGACCUAGCUAUGCCACGUGUAUGUGCUGCUUUAUUUUUCUCUCGUAAGAAAUAAGUUGAAACGAUUGCCUACUAGUGAGAGAUGAAAAUUGACAGACUCAGACGGUUUCCUCUUCGUCACCUUAGUGGUAUUAGUGUGCCCGUUUCUCUUCCACCACCGAGGGUUCAGUUUCAUCUUGUCUCGCCUAUAAGAGGUCACUCCUCUUCCCAAACGAAAUACACUUCCAUUCCCUCGUUCUAGAGCAUUGUGUCGCUUACCCCUUUCCCAUCUCGAUCCCCGACGUGCAAAGGGGAGUGGGACGGCAGCCUUCGAAACCUCGCCUCUUGUGAUCUGGUACGGUAGAGGGGCUAUUGAGUUUUUGGGGAGCGCCCUUGUGCGACUACUGGAUCCUUGUUCCUUAUGGGUGCAAACGACGACAUCGCUGAUGACGAGUUCCCUAAUGACGAGUUCUUCCCUGACAUCAACCGUCUCCUCGGUAACAUGACCAACGGCGCAUCUACAUCUACUUCCGUUGCUCCGUAUGUCAUGUUAUCCUCUCUGCUAGGGUUAAGGUUUGGCUUACUGCUAGUAGCAAUCGACAUGGAUAUGAUGCUUCUAGCUUAUGAUCUCGAUUGCCUGCCUAGCUUCAACAAUAUGUUGCUUGUUUCUAUUAUCAUCACUAUCAUAUUAUUCACGUUUAUCCACUAUUUUUCUGGAUUAAACUUAAUGGAAAAUUCCUCAAUCAUUCAACAACAAUUAUGACCGGAUCGGUGCUCAUACUAGAAAAUUAUUGUAGUUUGACUUUCAUGUAUUUCUUGGAUCCGCGGCGAAGCAUAGUCAUCUUAUUACUAUGUUAAGAUAAUUGUAAUUUCAAGAGAACUGGAGCAAAGAAAGACAUUUGGUGGAGUUGCUAGUCGGUGCUGAUGCGGCCAACCCCUAGGGUCUUUACUUCAUCUGGCGCUGACAACAACUACGUGACUAAGAAACAUGCUAAAAACGCACGGGGGUAAGAAACCAUGUCUCGAUGUAAACGUUUUUGCUCCAUGGCAAUGCACGGGCAUUUAGCUAGUAUUACCUCUGCAUCUUAAUAUAAGACAUUUUUGCAGUUCAAUUUAUGUCAGAAAUACAAAAAGAUACAGAGGUAGUAAGUUUUAGUGCAGGGACAAAUUAAGUAACAAUCCACAUAAACAAUGGCACCUUUCAUGGUCUACCACAAGAAUAUUGUUUCUAAAACAUUUAUUGGAAGGAGCAUCAUAUAUCAUAGAAGAUGUAAAGAGGUAUUACAACGACAAAACGGUUUAUCAGGAGAAUCUAUCAUUGUUCCCUUGUUUAGGGACUAGAGCAUGUCAUCCUUUCAUGCGUGUAGUUCUAUCGAAGAUUCAGGCGGCGGGCACUUGGGAUUGCACUUAGGGCAUUUAGACUUGCACUCAUCCAAAGUCUUGAAACAUGGGGUCUCCCGGAUGUCACAGCAGUAGCAGUCACCGAAGUCGC
rnacentral:lncRNA from 1 species